CGAAGGCGACUUACUGGACGACAACUGACGCUGAGACACGAAAGUGUGGGGAGCAAACAGGAUUAGAUACCCUGGUAGUCCACACUGUAAACGAUGAAUGCUAGGUGUGGGGGCGAAAGCCUCCGUGCCGGAGUUAACACAAUAAGCAUUCCACCUGGGGAGUACGGCCGCAAGGUUGAAACUCAAAGGAAUUGACGGGAGCCCGCACAAGCAGUGGAGUAUGUGGUUUAAUUCGACGCAACGCGAAGAACCUUACCAGGACUUGACAUCCCAGGAACCCGGCGUAAUGGCUGGGGUGCCCUUCGGGGAAUCUGGUGACAGGUGGUGCAUGGUUGUCGUCAGCUCGUGUCGUGAGAUGUUGGGUUAAGUCCCGCAACGAGCGCAACCCUUACGGUUAGUUGCUACGCAAGAGCACUCUAGCCGGACUGCCGUUGACAAAACGGAGGAAGGUGGGGACGACGUCAAAUCAUCAUGCCCCUUACGUUCUGGGCUACACACGUACUACAAUGGCGAAAACAAAGGGAAGCAAUACCGCGAGGUGGAGCAAAUCCCAUAAAAAUCGUCCCAGUUCAGACUGCAGGCUGCAACCCGCCUGCACGAAGUUGGAAUUGCUAGUAAUCGAGGGAUCAGCAUGCCGCGGGAAUAC
rnacentral:rRNA from 1 species